GCCCUGACUGGUUUGGCUCAGUGGAUAGAGCAUUGGGCCGUGGACUGAAAGGUUCCGGGUUCGAUUCCCGGUCAGGGCA